rnacentral:sRNA from 1 species
GCUGGGUAUGGUGGCGCAUGCCUAUAAUCCCAGCAGCUUGGGAGGCUAAGGCAGGAGGAUCUCGGGUUCGAAGCCAGCCUCAGCAAAAGCAAGUUGCUAAACAAUUCAGUGAGACCCUGUCUAUA